CCUACGGGUGGCAGCAGUGGGGAAUAUUGGACAAUGGGCGAAAGCCUGAUCCAGCCAUGCCGCGUGUGUGAAGAAGGCCUUCGGGUUGUAAAGCACUUUCAGUGGGGAAGAAAGCCUUGGGGCUAAUACCCUCGAGGAAGGACAUCACCCACAGAAGAAGCACCGGCUAACUCCGUGCCAGCAGCCGCGGUAAUACGGAGGGUGCGAGCGUUAAUCGGAAUUACUGGGCGUAAAGCGCGCGUAGGCGGUCUGAUAAGCCGGUUGUGGAAGCCCCGGGCUCAACCUGGGAACGGCAUCCGGAACUGUCAGGCUAGAGUGCAGGAGAGGAAGGUAGAAUUCCCGGUGUAGCGGUGAAAUGCGUAGAGAUCGGGAGGAAUACCAGUGGCGAAGGCGGCCUUCUGGACUGACACUGACGCUGAGGUGCGAAAGCGUGGGUAGCAAACAGGAUUAGAUACCCCUGUAGUC
rnacentral:rRNA from 1 species